rnacentral:rRNA from 1 species
CACGUAGGCGGACUUUUAAGUCAGGGGUGAAAUCCCGGGGCUCAACCCCGGAACUGCCUUUGAUACUGGAAGUCUUGAGUAUGGAAGAGGUAAGUGGAAUUGCGAGUGUAGAGGUGAAAUUCGUAGAUAUUCGCAGGAACACCAGUGGCGAAGGCGGCUUACUGGUCCAUUACUGACGCUGAGGUGCGAAAGCGUGGGGAGCAAACAA